AUUGAACGCUGGCGGCAGGCCUAACACAUGCAAGUCGAACGAGUGGCGGACGGGUGAGUAAUGUCUGGGAAACUGCCUGAUGGAGGGGGAUAACUACUGGAAACGGUAGCUAAUACCGCAUACCAUCGGAUGUGCCCAGAUGGGAUUAGCUAGUAGGUGGGGUAAAGGCUCACCUAGGCGACGGUCCCUAGCGGGUCUGAAAGGAUGACCGCCCCAACUGUAACGAGAAAACGGUCCAGACUCCGACGGGGGGCAGCAGAGGGGAUCAUUGCACAAUGGGCGCAAGCCGUAGGCAGCCAGGCCGCGUGUAUGAAGAGGUCCUUCGGGUUGUAAGGUCCUUUCUGCGGGGAGGCGUUACCCGCAGAGGAAGCACCGGCUAACUCCGUGCCAGCAGCCGCGGUAAUAC
rnacentral:rRNA from 1 species